GCUUUUCUUGUGAUUUAUUUUCUUCUUUUCAGAUAAAGUUCAUUAAGAAUCCUACACCGAAUACAAGAAGAAUUCAAAGAGAAGAAAACCACUUGGAGGAGUUAGCCAAAGAGAGAAGAGAAGUAAAUUAUUUAAUUCUAAGUAUUUUAUUUUAUUAUUAUAUUUCCUAGUCUAAGUUAGAUUAAGAAUUUAACUCAGAAUUAUGUAAUCCCACCUCUAGUCCAAUUAGUCAAGUAAAGCAUAUAUAAAGACUUCAUCACUAGGUUGUCAAUCACAAUUCCAAAAUUCAAUGAUUAAUAAAAUUUAAAAAUAUUCAACUGAAUAUUUUCUAUCAAAUCUUGUUUUUAGCUUCGACAUAAGUGAGUGUUCAAUUAGGACGAUACUUCAACCAUCUUGUUAAGAUAGGAAAUCGAAUCCACUUAUCAGGUAAGCCGUGACGUCUUUUUCAUUCUUAUUUUAAUUUUCAGUUACCUUGGUUUACAUUCAAAUCGCUGAAUUUGGUUUAAGUAGGGAGGGUUAAUUAAGAAUUUUAAGUUUUCUAAGUGCUAAUAUUUAUAUGGAGGUUUUAGAAGUAUUAAAGAUCCCAAGUUUCGUGUCACAAAAGGAACCUUGUAAGAAAAAAUGACAACAACAACAUUUUCUAUAAAUAAUAUUAAUUAUUAGAGUUCAGUGAUUCUUCC
rnacentral:lncRNA from 1 species